UGGUCCCUAUCGCCCGACACUCCGGAGUACUCGACGAUAAUCCUCUCCAUGUGAGGAUAUGGAUGGCUAUACCACCCCAAAUAACAGACCGUGAGCUAGAUCUAUCCUCUCCAAGUGAGGAUACCCUACGAACUAGGGCCAACAUCUCAAACGAACUCAUCUAUAUCCUCUCCGUGUGAGGAUACUUAGUUUUACUAAGUUCUUUGUCCACAAGGCAUUUUCUAAGGGAUUCACCUAUCCCUAGAUUCUCAAACCUCUAGUGUCAAAUACACUAUAUUAAUGCCACUCGUUUGUUCUUUAAAUAUUAGAUGACAUUCGUUUGUUUUUUCAACAUUAGAAGUUACUUUCCAUGUCACCAAACACCCAUCGUGUUCAUCUCUUUUCUCUAGCACUAUAGGAUCCAUGUUCCGACCCAAUCCUCACCUAUCUAAGUCACCAAGCGUUCCAUGUACACUAGGUUAUCAAUUAGAAAGCAUAAGGAAUGGCACUAUUAUGCAAUCCUACAAUGCAACAUGCAAGAGAUGAAAUUAUAUGUUAUUCUAAGACAUAGAAAAGAGCCCGGUUGCUUCGGGAUGACACCCCCCACCUUUUGUAGUCGAUAAUCGUUGUGGAGGUCCUAGAAGUGUUCCUCGGCACUUCAAACUACGUGUUCCCCGCCUCUUUGGGAGAAACGAAGCUAGGUCGGCCCUACUUUGCCGAUAGCUCUACACCCGCUCGACGAAUCGUAAUUCUGACUCCGCCAACGCGUUUAGACACCUAGCAAUUAGGUUUACAAAGCCUCAAGUGAGAUCAAUCUUAUCUAUUUUCAAAAAUUCUAUUUUAGGUGCCCUAGGGUUAGCAUCAUGCCAUUUGCAC
rnacentral:lncRNA from 1 species